rnacentral:rRNA from 1 species
UACGUAGGGGGCCAGCGUUGCUCGGAAUUACUGGGCGUAAAGGGUCCGUAGGCGGUGCGGUAAGUCGGGAGUGAAAUCUCUGGGCUUAACUCAGAGGCUGCUUCCGAAACUACCGUGCUAGAGUGCGAGAGAGGCAAGUGGAAUUGCGGGUGUAGCGGUGAAAUGCGUAGAUAUCCGCAGGAACAUCCGAGGCGAAAGCGGCUUGCUGGAUCGCAACUGACGCUGAGGGACGAAAGCUAGGGGAGCAAACAGG